rnacentral:lncRNA from 1 species
AAGCACAUAAUUUGGUCCCAAACAUGCAUGGACUGAAAAGCAAUUGAAGUAUCUUAAACAGAUAAAAAGAAAAAAACCAUACCUUGAUGUUGAAAAACGCAGAGACUUUUUCUUUUUCUUUUUUUGCAAAGGGAAAAAAAUUGGAGAGGGACAGUGAACCUAAGUUUUAGGGUGUGGCAAAAGGAAGAGGAAAAGGGAAAGGCGGAA